UGCAGCAGGAUGGACAAGAACCUGUCUGUCACACCUGCUAGGAAAGGCUUUCCAUGGCUGCUGGGACCUGACACACCACUUGGUCCAUGGAGAAAGACAAUCCUUGCCUGGAAAACUGGCAGCCAAACACAGCUACAGCCAGAUGUGGCUCACCCAAAGCAGAGCUUUGAAAAUCAGCCCCUUUCACAAGCAGGUGUGUAGGAAGGCAGCUGCCCAUGGGGUGGGAGCCUCCCAGCCUUGAUUGGCCUGGGGGAGAGGUUAUUUAAGAGCCAGGCAAGAAAGCAGUGCUGCCUGUGGCUCAGCUCUUGUUCAUCUCUCCUGGGACCCUGGUGGCAGCUCAUCCCUGCCAGGUAUGUGGCAUCUGAGGGAAAUUGCUUCUGUUUUCUGACUGGCAUCACACACAUUCCCCUCCAGCCCUCCCGCUCAUGAUGAUAAGCCUGGCUUAGGGAGAUGUGCUAAUCUGGCAGUUGCUAUGAGACCAACUUGAUGUCUGAUGCAGUGUGGAGGCAGGUGAGUCAUUUAGAGGAAUAUGGGUUUUUCUGGUGUGGUUUGAGGAGCUGCAAAAGUUUCCUGACGGUCAGUGGGAUGCAAACACUGUAGUCCCAGCACCCGGGGCAGCCCAGGGAAAACGGGAGCCUUGGCUUCUCCCUGCUGUGGUCUCUCUUCUCUUUGUGGUUUUCUAAUCUGUCAAUCUCCAGCUGCUGCUGGCUCCUUCUAGGAGAAUGUUUCCCAGGGUGAAUUCUGAGGAGGAGCGACCUGAAGAUGUGCUUUGCUCUAAUGGUGGCCCCGUCUCUGGCAGCUGAGCCUGCUCCUGGGCUGCAGCCCGGGGCUCCCACUCUGGCAGUGCUUGGGGCUCUCCAAAGCAAGUGCAGAUGGAGAGAGCAGGGAAUGCUGACUGGGAAAGCUGGGAAUGCUGGCUGGGAGAGCCAGUGCUGCUGCCGUGGGGGCAAGGGCAGGGUGUGACUCGUUCCUCCAGGUCCUGGCAUUACCACAGUCGGGAUCACCAAACUGGGGUCUCAGCUGUGGGGCUGCUCCUGUGCAGUAACUUAUGUAAGGAGGAAGGAACUAGCACAGCAGAAAUUUUUAAUUAUCUAUUUGACUCUAAUAGUCUUGGUUUGGGUUCAUGCAAUGUUGGUUAGUUACCUCACAUAAUUAGAAAUUUUACAGUUGGAUAAAAAGUUUAUAAAGCACUGAAAAGGGCGGGGUAUUCAGGAUGGAGACGUUCACUCCCUCUGCUUGUUCUGGAGAAAGGAAAGGCUUUGGGCUCCUCAAGGAGCCCCAGUUCCCACUGGCACCCAGAGAUGGUCCUGCUGGCCCCACUCCCUCCAUGCAUGGGCUCAGAGCUCCAGGGACAGAGGGUUCAGUGUGAGCCAGUGGCCCAACCCAGGCAUUCCCCCAGGGGAAUGUUCAAUUAAGCACAAACCAGUUAUUGAUGGGCCCCCAGGGUGAGGAUGGGUGCUGCCCUGGCAGCAGGGAUUUAGGGGUUGUCCAAGGCCAGAAGUUGGUUGGUUUGGUGGGCUCUUGGUACAGGUCCCCCAGUUCUUGUCCACAGACCCCAAAGUACUAAUCCAGGUUUUGUUAACGAGGAUUUUUCCUCCCUGGCAUCCCUCUAUUGAAGUCUGAUAGAGCAGAGGUUUGGGGAGGAUGUUAAUGAUCACCUUGAUGUUAUGAGUGUCUCAGAGAGGCAGGUGUUUGCUCCCUUGGUGAAAGCCCUGGAGAUGCUGAGCCCACUGCACUGGUGGGGGGUUCCAUGGCAGUAAUGUGGCAGCCUGCAAUGUUGUGGUCCUCAGGGAAAGAGGGAUUCAAGGAGGGAAGCAUUAAAAUAACACCUGCUGUAAAGGAGUGGAACAGCACAGCCGUUAUUCACCUUCACAGUAACAGCUCAGCCAGGCUGAGGGCUCAGGGUGGCACACGGGGGUAAAACUCAGGGAUGCACAUUUCCCUGACAUGCAGGGCUCGUGAUGGAGGGAGGGUGCUCCUGUGAGCAGGCACUGGGAGACUGCUGGGGCUGGAAACCUGGGGGGAAACAGCCCUGAGCCAUCAGCUGAGGUCUUGGCCACAUUUGACCCCGGCAUCUCCUGGCACGUGGCCGGGCCACUGUCACUGCGGGUCCCCUCUGGCUCCUCGCACGUGCCCAUCACUCCUGCUCCCAGCCUGCAUGGGAAGCAGCUCUUUUUUCCGAGCAAACCUGCCAGGAUCCCUCCCUAGAAAAAAAAUCAUACAGUUUAAAUUCUUCUUUAAAGCCUGUGGGAUGACCAGGUUUGGUGCCAUUAUACAGGAAGGGUUACUGCAGGUGAAGGGUUAAGUGGCUGGUGGCUCAUGCAGGUGUGAAGUCUCCUUGCAAACAUGCAGCCUUGCAAAUGGAAUAGAAGUGUUUUUUAAAGCCUUUGAAAUCAGUUUUGUUUAUGUAAUCUGACAAGUUAUUAUGCAAAGUCCUUAUCUGACUUCAUGAUUUAUGGGAAAGAUCCUCAAAUCUAUAUUUAAAAUUACUAUUAAACACAGUUUUUUUGCCUCUUCAGCUGAGAUAGAAGCACCAUUAGCAGUUGUUGCCCUGGAGCUCAAGUACUUCAUUAGUUUAGGAAAAUUAAUUUUUUUCCAUUAAAUCUUCCUAGGAUCCUGAUGCUAUAUUUGCUUGUAAAGGUUCAAUAAUAAUAAUUUUUUAAAAAACGUUCUGCUAGUUGUGAUCUUUGGUUUCCUCCCCUCUAAGCUCUCAGGUGUGUGUAGCCAUAGGUUGAGGCCAGGAGGUGCUGGCACAGGCAGUGCAGGUGUGUGGGGCAGACUCAGACCUGGUAGUGGAUGGGGGAAGGAAAGGCCUGCCUGGUUUGGAGAAGCUCAUCUCGUGCUGUUUCUUGUUCAGGUUCUUGUAAUGAUCUUUCAGAGUGUCAGUGGGAAAGCUGGGAUAGUUCUGUCACUCGGCUCCUGCUUCAGCUCCUGCUCCUGCCCGGGGCACUGUGAUGCUGGGGGGUGGGAGCUGCUCUGGAAGUCGUGGUGCUCCUGUUCUCCAUCCAUCUGCUGCUCCCAUCCUGCAGAGAAGUGGCUUUUCAAGUGCAGAUGAAUCUGAAUUCAUUUGGCUUUCUCUUCGUGAGCCCAGAGAAAUGCCAAAGCCUCUUCUCAUGUCUCAGCUACUUCUGGCAGGUUUGAGCUUGGUUGGGAGAUGUUUGUUUUCAUGCUCCUCCAGCUUUUGAACAAAGGAGCUGAUGGCAGUCGUGCAUAUGUACACGUGUAUUGCUCCCAGCCUGCAAUAUCAACUUAUACUGAAUUCAAUCACAUUUCCUUGCAUCUUUCUAGUUUAACUUUUUUCCCCUACUUGGACAGUAUUCCUACAGUUAGGUUCUAAAGUUGCUAGAGUUGGUUGGUGGUUGCUUCCAGAGCUUUAUCUUUCUGAGGAUGUUGUCCUGUCCACAACCACAUAGAGGCUGUGGAGGGAAGGAUCCCGACUCUGAGCUAGGCAGGGAGGCAGUGGUUGUGUUCCAGACAGCCAACCUGUGCAGUGGGAUUUAUGGAGAGAUUCAGUGUUUUAUGGACAGCACAGUAAAUUUCUCUUUAAUAGAGCCUUAAAUAUUCCCUGGCAAUAUUUACAUAAGCAUUGUAACAGCUGUGAAAGAGUCAUUAAGGACUACUCACAGAGAUAAUCUCGAUUUUAAAAUUCCUUUAAUGUGCGUUUCCAGAGAGAUUAUAGGCACAGCUAUCUGGUCAAUAAAAAGCUCAUCCUCCUCCACAAGGUUUGUAGGCAGAUCAGGAGGACAAUCAGAAAUAACUGGGCAAAAGUAUCUGGAUUGAGCUAGGAUUUUUUCUGGCUCCUGUUCCCUUUGUUGGCAGCUGAGUGCCAUUCCAAAGGAAUAUCGUGUGUCAGUUUGACACCAAGCCUGGACAAUCAACCACACCCAAUCAAAUAAUCAAUGCUCCUGAUGAAAGUUUUCCUCAUCCAGUGCAGUUGCUGGAGUUAUCUGUGUUUCUGAAGAAAUGGAAUAGGGAUUCCCCUCUUCCUCAGCUCCUGCAGAAGGCAUUUCCAGGGACUGCUGCUGUGACCAGUUACUGAUCUCUGAGGUGUUUGUGGGGCUGGUGUGUUACUGUAGGUUGGUUGGGUUGGUUGCUUUGCAGUUUUAUAACCAUCCUCAGCAUCUCCUGCUGAAACCCUGCACUCAGAACCUUUGGCUCGCUGCAGUGGCUGCUGCUUCUUCUCUGUCUUGUGUUCAAAGUUUAAUCUCCUCAGAGCCUUGCCUGAGACCCCUGUGCUAGAGGUUUGCUCCAUGGCUUCUCCAGGAAGAGCUUGUUUCCCAUCUAAGAGAAGAUGGAGACACCCAAUUUCCAGACUCUUUCUCACCUAUUUGGGGUUCGCAUGGUGUGUAACAGAAGUUGAACAAACUCUAAAGGCUGGAAGAUCCUGACUCCUUCUCCUUCAGCAGCUCAGCUGGUCGAGUGUGGGAAGAUGCUAAUUUGAGCUGGCAGCAAUUCAUGUUCACUUUGGAGGACAACAAGGCAUCGGAGAAUAGGCAGGAGCGGAGCUCGGCUGGAGAGCGGCUGCGAGGUGCAGGGAGGGCUGGGGGAGCUGCUCAGUGUGUUCCCAGGGAGAAGGACAGAUUAGGCUGCUGGGCUCUACCUAACAGCUCAAAAGGCUUUCUCCAAGGCUUUGUGAGGUGCUGGUUUGUGUUUUCCUGGAGGGGAAAGAGUGGGAGAUGAGGGGCAGGAGCAGGAGGCAAAUGUUGGCAAGGGCAGUGUCUCCUGCAGUCUCUUGCUUGCACAGGUGGCCGAGCAGGGUGGUGAGCAGGGCAGUCUGCAGACCCGUGUGCAAUCUGCUGGCAGAGCUGGCAGCAGCAGCACGAGCCUCUUCUCCCUUCCCUUAAUCUCACAAAAUGGGGAUAUUUCACUUGGAAUCAUCCAGAGAUAAUAAAUAUGGAUCGUGUUGUUUUACGAGUUUCCCGCACGGAACUGCACUUUAAAUUAAGCACCGUAAAGCUCAGCUGAACGUGGCAGGAGAACAAGGUUUGAGCUGAAUGCACAAACACCUUUUCCUUCCCCUUUGGUCCUUUCCUUCCCCCACAGUCCCAUUAAAGCUGUCACACCAGGAGCUGCAGGUCACAGCUGGGAGCUUCCCCCCAUCCCACACGAUGCUCUGGGCUGAGCUCUGCCAGAUCUUGGCCCCAGCUGCUCACCUGGAAUGUCUGCUUGGGGUUGUUGUACAGGGCAGCUAAACCCCAAACCUGCCCAGUGAGAGUGGUUUCAGUAACUGCUCUGCAUCUGUGAAGUUUACAGAAUAAACCUGUUUGGUACUGGAGCUUGUUUGGAAUGGCUCUGAGGGAAUAGCCCUGCUUCCCUGAGCCAGGAACUUUGCUUUGAAAUCUCUCCAGUCCCAUGAACUUCUCCUGCUUCCCAGGCUGGGGUGUGGGCCUGGCAAGCAGCUCUGCACCCAGGGACUUGCUCUGGAACAAGCCCAGAUGCAGGGAAAAUGUGUUUCCUACCCAGGUAAGCCUGGGUUUCCUUCUGCUUCACUCCAUGCCCUGGGCAAGCCCCAGUUCCAGCAGCAACGUCCCAGAGCUGCUCAUUGGCAGCUCCCUGGCCUGUGGAGAGAAGGUUUUGAUGUGGAAGUUGCUGUCUGGAGCUGCUUCUGGGGAUGUAGAAGGAAACCAGAUGGGUUUUUUACGGCCAGUGCCAUGGGGAUUCUGUGUGGUGCAGGAGAUGCUGGGAAUUCUGGUGUUGUGCACAGGGGCAGGCGUGCAGGUGGACAUUCAGGACUUGGCUCCAUUCACCAGCUCUGGGAGUGGUUUGGUUGCUGUAUUCCUGCUCUGAGGCUCACUGCAAGCAGUGGGGACAUCUUUUCCCACAUCCCACUGCUGCAACUCUCUCAUUUUUAAGACCCAGCUUUCCUGUGCCUGCUUUACUCCGAAACAGAUCUUCAUCCCUGGCUCCAUAGAAACUGCAGUUUUCCUGGGCUGUCAAAUAUUGUUUUACCUGUACUCCCAGAGGAGAAAAAUGAAAAAUUUCAAAGUAAGCACUUGCCAAUAGGUGUAGGGGAGAGCAGCCGGGACCCUCCGGAUAUUUUCCCUCUCUGCCAAGACUAUACACGCUCCUUUUAAUUUCCAGAGGUAUUUAUAGCUCCUUCCUUCCUUUCCAAUUAUCACCAUGAGAAGGUGGUGGAGGGGGAAGAGAAAGCAAGAGGGAGGGAACCGGCUCUGUAGUCUCUUGAUGGGGUGUUUCCUCCCUUCCUUGUCCACUGUGGACCCUCCCAAAAGGGAACCUCAGUCUGAGGCUGGAGCACGAGCCACAGCCCAGCCAGGGCUGGAGAGGCAUCCCAGUGCUCAAGAGGCAUCCCAGUGCUCAAGAGGCAUCCCAGUGCUCGGGAAGACCCAAGAGGUGCUGACUCAGGUGCUGCCUUCUCCCCUGCAAGAGAAGGGAGCUGGGGAGGGGGAGCAAAGAGCAGAAAACAAGCUGCAAUUUCAACUUGUGAUCAUAUUGGAUUUGUAACAGCCAAAGCAAUAAUUGUGUUUGUGGCGCUGGAAAGGGAAAGGAGACAAAUGGUUUAAUUUGGAUCAAUAUUAAUUUUAUGCAAUUUAACUUUUUAUCACGGCAAAUACAAUUAUCGUCCUUGGGAUCAAUCAAGAAAGAAAAAAGACCGUUUAGCUCAGAAAAUGCUUGACUGACCAGGAAAGGUGUUUGUGGGCGAGGGAAUCGUUUAUUGCCUCAGGUUUGAUCAGCCCUGAGUUUCUGUGUGGAAGGAGCCGGUGCCGGCAGGAGGAGCAGCGGCAGCUCAACCGGGACAGGAGGCAGGGAUCACAGCCGGGAUCACAGCCGGGAUCACAGCCGGGAUCACAGCUGGGAUCGCUGCAGAGAGGGAGGCUCAGCAAGGCACCUGAACCUGCUCUCUGCUGCCUGCCUUCCCCUGGCACCUCAGGCUCCUGUAAUCAGAGAAAUGUCUGAAAAUUUAGACUCCUGGCAUUUGCUUAGAAAGAAGCAGCAAGAAUCCAUACCCCUUGUCCUCUUUCUGAGGAGACAUCCAGGCAAUGAGUAAUUAAACUGCUGUGGGCUAAUGAGAAGCCUUGUUGGCAUCUCUCCUCCUCUGCUGGGGCAUCGUGACCCGCCGGCUCAGAGCCAGCAUCGAUGGUCCUGUGCAGCCUCGGCUCCUGGUUUGAGCAGGCAGGGCUGUGGGCAGGGACAGGCAGGAGAUGCUGAAGGAGUUUCUGGUUGUACCCAUACGAACAAUGUCUGUGAAUUGAACAAACCACUGUGGUUCCACAGCGAGCUUCACAUCCCCCACUGACCUUUGGCAAACUCUGAGAGGCUCCUGCAGACAAACCCGAUCUUUCCCUCACAAACCUGAGUGAUGUGCUGCCUGUUUUGCUGAGUAUAAAGUCAUGAGAAGGUUAUCAAAACCGUAGGUGCUCGGUUUCAGCAAUGCCCCAGCACUGUGCUGGUCCCAGUGCAGCUCCUUCAGUGGGAUGGGUGGGCUGGACAGCACGUGCUUGGCACAUCUUUGGGAAUGUGCUGUCUUGAUUUGGCAAGCCCAGUUCCCAGGCACCCCUCUGCGUCUGUCCUGGGGAGACAUGGGUGACAAACCCAGAGUGUUGGCAUCCUCUAAAGCCAUCACUGUGAACCCCUGUGAAGUGAGUCCUCUCAGGUGCCUGGUUUAGGUCUUUCUCUCCCCAAACUGUGGGGCCACAUCACCAGUGCAAAGGCAUUAAUUGGGAACCAUUGGCACCACCUCACGCACACCGAGGACACGAAGUGUUAAACACAGCAUUUACCUCUCUGAAAAUUGGUACAGGCUUUGAACAUUGAUUUUUACCUUAGGGCCAACGUGUUACUUUGGGGAAAAGGCUGUAGAAAAAAGGACAUUCUGAUCUGUUUUGCUUUAACCUUUUUAAAUCCGUCUCAAGCACAAAUGCUGGCUGCUCGUUUGUUGCCCAUUUUUGAUCGCCUGCAACACUGAGGGGGAAGAGUGGAGGGAGAUCAGAAGGACAGAGGGGUUAUUGCUGCUGCCAGCAGCUCAGGCUGCAGGCUAUGGCACAGCAUGUGCCUGCUCGCCUCAGGCCUGUGCCACGGGGAUGGCACUGGGCAGCUGCUCAGCCUGUGCCCGGAGGGAGCAGUUGUGGCACAGCGUGGCAGGCUGGGCACAGCUCCUUGUGCUGCCUCGGGGUUCAUCUCCUCUGCCUUCAGGGGGCAGGAGCUCAGUGCAUUGCUGGGGCUCUGCACACUCAGCACUCCCUGCCAGAAGAGAAGUGCCUGUAGGGACCCAGGGCUGUUUGCCAUGGGUCUGUUGAGAUCUGGUUAUUAAAGUUACUAGAAAUGCCUCUGCCAUUUGCACCUCUGAAUUAAGGUGCAAACGAGACCAUAUGUUGAAGUCAAUAGUAUGGAUUUUAUUUAACAGUAAAUGUGAGGCAGAGAGAAAGAGACAGAAAGAAGUAGGAAAAAGGAGGGGUGGGGAAGAAAGAGAGUGAAAAAGAUUAAAUAGAAAAUGUAUAACCACUCCAUGGAACCCAUCAGUGUUCCAUGGGUCUUCUUCUGGUCUUCUCGGUGCUGAGGGUCCUGCCAAGCACAGAAUCCAAUGGGUUAAUAUAUGUUUGGAAGGUGUCAGGCACCUCCCCUGGAGGGGGAAGCUUUGCAGUCUCUUGCCACAGGCUCUGGAUUUGUUGCCUCACAUGGAUCACGUGCAGUUCUCUGGUGGUGGAAGGCCUCAGGAAUGAAUUGAGGGGGGUGCUUUGGAGGUCUCUGAUGGUUUAGGACCCUUCUCAGCUGCCUCUCACAUCAAUGUCCCCUGUGUAUGUGGUCUUCCUGGAGGGGAGGUGUUUUAUGUGGAGAGAUUUCCCCAUCACAGACCCAAAACCCUUCUCUUCCUCCACCCACAGAGACCAGCUGGGGCUGAUUCUUAACACAGAUACAGUCUUCUUCCCUGAACAUUGUUUACUUCUCUUCAGACCUGAGAUAAUUGGACAACAGUCUUAUCUCAGCUUCUGGUCACAGUCCAAUUUCCAGUCAGGAGGCAUAUUUGGGAGGUGGGGUGCUUUGGUGCUCCCACACAGGCAGUUGCUUCUUUGCAGUUUGACAAAAAGUCUUUCUAUGAUUUUGACAAUGUUUAAGACAUGAACACUGUUUCAGUCUCUCACAAGGUCUCAGGUGAGCUGGGUGUGAGCACAGGGGCACCUGCUGCCAUCGCUGGCCUCCCACCUGGUGCUGUGACCAUGUCCCAGAGCCUCGUGCGGGGCAGAGCCCGGGGAUGGGGCAAGUCCCGAGUCCACAAAGUCGUGAGAAAAACCUGCCAGGCCCUAGCAGAGGGCACCUCUCCCUGUGCUGACACAGAGAUGCUCAGGCAUCGCUGCAGCCAAAGAUUUUUGGCAGGAGCAGCAGGACAGCCAGAAUAGCUCCUGCUUUCUGCACAGGCCUGGGGGAGCUCUGUGUCUGUUACUUCUUUCUGAAAACCACAGAGAAACCCAUCAGAGACAGAUGUCCAAAUUUUAAGGUCAUUUGUUCCCCUUCUAUAUGGUAAUGUGUUAGCUGAGCAGAGCAAUCCUUGGUAAGUUCCUUAGGACAGCAGAGCUGUUUUGGGGAAUUGGCUGUGAGAUACUAUCUCUCCUUUAAAGUGCAAUAAAUAAAUGUACUUUCCUCUUCAAAAUAAAUAGGGAAGCUAUGCCAUGAAUCUUCCAGAAAGUUAGAAGGCCUUUGAAGUGUUUGAUUUGAGACGUAAUCACUCAUGUUACGCAUUUAAAAACAAGCAAACUGGGAAACCAAACUGCAAACCUCUCCUUAAUGUGCAAAAGUUUGGGAAGGUUUCAUUUCUCAGGGUGAGUGAUGGUGUAGCAGGCCCAGCCUGGUGCCCAGAUCUGCAUAAGGAUCACGUUAGGGUGUGAUCUUAUGAGUUUGUAACAUCUUUCACACGCUCUACUAAAUUUCUUGUGUUUUAUGUCACCUUCUCUCAGUGCUGGGUUGGUUGGGUUGUGUAACAGAGGCUCCAGAGUGCUCAUGGAUGGAGUGGAUGAGCCCCUGGUGCUUUGGGAGUGACAUUUGGCUCCUAUGGCUCUGUCCUCACCCUAUAGCCAGGGAGGCUCCAGCUGCUGCACUGGCGUGGGAAUCCCCAGGGAGCCAAAUCCCCGGCUGGAGGGGCAGGAGCAGGCACGGGGUGGAGACUCCAACACCACCAAAUGCCACGACAGAGGCAGCAUUGCUGGCUCUGAAUGCUCAGGCUUCAGCUGGAUCCGAUUUUCACGGAUGCCAUUUCCCUAGCAGGAGGUCCCAGUGUUCUUGCUGUCAGCAGUGGCAGCGUCCAGCUCCCCAGCCAGCUUGGCCCCACUGUGUGCCAAGGUUGUGCCAGAGAGGCCUGGGGCUCGCCCUCCAGCACAGCCAUGGCUCAAUGACCCUAUUCAUCAGCAAACACAAAAGCAGGGAGUGGAACCAAGCAGGAGUUUUUCAGGACGAAGCAAGCGGGCAUAAAAGACUAUUUGGAAAUAAAACAUAUUUGGGAUUCGUUGUUCCCUUGCAGCAAAUCUCACUUUUAAGGUGGAAAAGCCUUUUGCCUAAGUGCAAAAGCUUGUACUGCGUUCUCCUGGAAAGGAAAAUGUGUGACUUGCAUUGCUUUUAGUGCAGAGCCCUCCCAAACCUGCAGGGCAGGGCUGCAGAUGGACUCUGUGGAGAUGCUGCAGGCAGCUGUGCCUGGGGAUGCAGCACAACGUGGUGGGUGCAGCACUGGACCAAAGAGUCCCAAAAAUGCUGCUUGGGAGCCUGGGAAACCCUGCUUCAGGUCUCAGCAGCUGCCGAGACUGGGAUCACACAGAGCACUUCCCUCCAUCUCUCCUGCCCCUCCUUGGUCAUUCCACGUGCCUGCCCACCCCACUUUCACUUCAAACACAGCGGAGGUCAGGAAUUUCAGAGCAAACAGCCUAGCAUCUCCUUCCCAUGAAAUCUCCCAAAAAGGAGGCAAAGCAGCCAAGUAUUUUGGAUAUCUCAGUGAGGUUCCCACGAUGCGUGUGGUCUGUCCUUGGCCACUGCUGUGCCUUUGUCCCUGCUCUGUCCUGUCGGGAGGUGCUGCUCCCCGUCGGUGCUCAGGGGGAUGAGGGUGUUUGGAGCCUGAAACAGUGAUGAACCACAACAUGUUGUCUUAACAGCUCUCGAUCUCUCUGGCAUUUGCUGUCCCAAGGCAGCAAAGUGCACAAAAACUCUGUGGGUGAAAUGGAACAAGGUGAAACAACCCCUUUUUGGGGCUUCACUUCCCAGCAAGUUUUGCUGAUUUCAAUAAUGGAAAAACACUUCAGUGUAUUCCUGACAUUUUCACAUCAAAACAUAAUUAUGUUUCACUAUUCAAAUAUUUAGAAGACAGUCCUUAACCGAUCCUUGCUCCAUUAAUUAUUCCUAUUAAUUAUGUAUAGAUUUAUAAAUAGCAAUAUAAUUAAUAUUUAACAGAAUUUUUAUGAAAGAAUUUCAAAAGCUUAUUGAAAAUCUGCAUAUCUGAAGCCCUACCUUUUAAGUGGAAGGACAGUUUGCUGCUUCAUCUUCUUCCUUGCUCUCUGUCUUAUCAGCUGAAACACUGGCCACGCUUCUCCCAGGGGAGGUAUUUUCAGUUUGGGUUUUUUGCUUUUUCAUCCUCAUUUGUAGCGGGAUGUAUAAUUGGGUGCUGCUAAUUCCAGCUGAUCCGGUGCAGGCGUUAUUCCCGGGUGGGAGGCCAGGUGAGGGCUGUGCCUCUGUCCUGGGGGAGCGCUGCACCUGUGACUGUUGCCAGGUAAUUCACCACUGCAAAGCUGCUCCACUUCCUCCUGGGAGGGCUCGGAGCAGCCCAGCAGUGCCCUGCAGCUGGCUGGAGGCUGGGAUGGCCACGAGGUUGAGAUGCACCUUCGGUCCCUGCCGGCACAGGGGCUGCCCACGUGCUCCACUCAUCCCAUGCAGCAGAAGGGCCCCUCGCUCUGUAACCAGUGCUGAGCUGCCGUGGAAGCCCAGCAGCUCCACGGGGGGCUGUGCCCUUCAAAGCCCAGUGUGGAAAACAGGGGAUGUCAAGAAGAGGCGACCCAAUCCCAGCAAACCCAGGGAGCAAACGCUGGAUGUUGGGAUGCCAAGUGCACAGCUCAGCGCUCUGGAUCCUCCUGCUGUGCCAGCAGUGGCACAGGGCUCUACAAACCCCAGCAGUGACGUCCAGCAGCAGCUCUGAUCCAUCCCAGCCUGCCAAGGGAUGCCUUGAGAUGUUCUGCAGUGCACGGUUAUCACCAUGGGAUGCUCUCCAGCAUGAGGAAGCAAGCCGAGGCUGCCGAAGGACUUGUCACGGCGUGGAAGCUGAGGAGCAGCAACCCACCAAUUCGUGGCGUAAAAACAAAGGAGGAAUAUUUUGAGAUCAAAAGGUUCUUGUUCAGCUCGGGCUGCUUUGACAUGGAGCUGUCGCAGUGCCAAGUCACGUCAUUCCAAGGGCAUGGAUCCGCACCCCAUGAAGGAGCCAGCCACCUCCACCCCUCCUGAGGGAACAAAGCUUUGCUGAAACCCUCCUGUUUGCUGACUCUGUACCCAGAACACUCUGACACCCCCUUCGGUGGCUCACUGUGGCAGCACGUGGAUAAAUGAUGUUGGGGCUGAGCAGCUGAGCUUCGCUGCAGGACACUCCUCCAAGGCAAAGGGGACGAGCCCUCCCAGUCCCAUACAGGCCAUAUUUAUGGUGAUGGCACAACCCACCAGACAAGGUUGCUCCAAGCCCCGUCCAGCCUGGCCUGGAACACUUCCAGGGACGGGACAUCAACAGCUUGUCAGGCCAAACUUUCAGGCAUUUUGGAGACCCAUUAGCUGGGGCAGGAGGUCUGGAGCAACUGAUGGGCACCACUGACAGCCGAGCAUGUGCUGUGCCCACCA